rnacentral:hammerhead_ribozyme from 1 species
AUCUAAAUGACGAGUCCCAGACAGGAUAAAACGCGUGUCCUGAAU